rnacentral:lncRNA from 1 species
UCAUAUCCUUGGGAGGCAGUUUGCUCCAAGAGAUGCAUCUUGCUUUCAGAACACAUUCCCAUUGACUUUUUUUUUUAAACACAAAACAAUCAUUUAUUGCUGACUGAGCUCAGGAGGUGGUUCUCACUGGGGGUCUCUUGUGAGGAUGCAAUAAGACAUUGAUGGGAGGUGCAGUCAUCUCAAAGGCUGUCUGUUGAUGCUGUCUGUUUGCCAGGACCUCCACUGGGGCUGAGGACUAGAAUGAAUAUACUCAGCCUCUCCAUUGUUGCCUGGGUUUCUUCACAACAUGGCAGCAGGGAUUGAAGAGCAAGCGUCCCAAGAGAGAGCCAGGCUAAAGUACCUUUCAUAGUCUAGCCUUGGAACACAUGCAGUGUCACUUGUGCUGUUUUCUGUUGUCUUCCUUAGAAAUGUGUCCCUAAGUCCAGCCCAUAUUCA